rnacentral:rRNA from 1 species
AUGGGGUGGGCUUCAAGGUGGCUCCGCGGGCUGCUUGGCGGCGGCAAGAAGGCCGGUCCCGCCUCCGGCGAGCACAAGCCGGAGAGGGAGAAGAAGCGCUGGGGCUUCGGCAAGUCCUUCCGGGAGAAGGACCCGGUGCGUCCACCGACGCCUCCUGUGCAGCGGGCGGCGACGCCCCGCCGCACCUACGCGACGUCGGAUGACGGCGGCGACGAGCAGAACAAACGCGCUAUCGCCGUGGCGGCGGCGACGGCGGCUGUGGCCGAGGCCGCCGUUGCCGCGGCGCAGGCGGCCGCCGCCGUGGUGCGGCUGACGAGCAGCGGGCGGUGCCCGCCGGCCGGGGCGAAGCAUGAGGAGUGGGCGGCCGUCCGGAUCCAGGCCGCUUUCCGUGGCUACCUGGCGAGGCGCGCACUGAAGGCGCUCCGCGGGCUGGUGAAGCUGCAGGCGCUGGUCCGCGGCAACAUCGUCCGGCGGCAGGCGGCCGAGACGCUCCGGUGCAUGCAGGCGCUCGUCAGCGUGCAGUCCCGCGCGCGCGCCAGCCGCGCAACCCGAUCCCGCCAGGCCGCGGCACACCCGGGCGCGACGACGCCGGAGAAGUACGAGCAGGCGGCAUACGAUGGCGCGCUCAGGCACGGCCGUUCAGGCUCACUCAAGGGAGGCUCGUCAAAGACACCGGGCAGCGAGAGGAUGAGCAGGGAGAGGUCAGAAUCUUGCGGGAGGAACUGGCUGGAUCGGUGGGUGGAGGAGAGGUACAUGGAUGACGAGAAGAACGCCAAGAUUCUCGAGGUGGACCCCGGCAAGCCCGGCCGGCACGCUUCCAAGAGGCGAAGCAGCGGCGGCGGCCACCACCAGUCGUCGUGCUCAACCAGGACAUCAGAGCAGAACAGCCGGAGCUACGCGACGAUGCCGGACUCGCCGUCCAGGGACUCGACGACGGCGCAGCAGUCCGUGCCCAGCCCGUCGUCGGUGGGCAUGGGCGCGGGCGAGGCCCUCAGCCCGCUGCACAUGCCGGCAGACCUCGCGGCGGAGCUGUACGAGAGCCCGCAGUUCUUCUCGGCGACGUCGCGGCCGGGGAGCUCGAAGCGGGGCGCCUUCUUCACGCCGACCAAGAGCGAGUGCGCGCGCAGCCUCUUCGGCGGCUACUCCGACUACCCCAACUACAUGUCCAACACGGAGUCGUUCCGGGCCAAGGCGCGGUCGCAGAGCGCGCCCAAGCAGCGGCCGCUGUACGAGAAGUCCGGGUCCCUCCGGAAGGCGUCGGCACACGCCUUCGCGCCGGGGCAGAGGUCGUCGGCGUCGGCGUCCCUGCACGCCAGGUUCACCAAUAAGGCGUACCCUGGCUCCGGCAGGCUGGACCGGCUGGGCAUGCCUGUCAAGUACUGA